UGGAAAUAGUUUUGUAAUACUUCAGCUGCCUAGUGAAAAAAAAACAUGUCGUUUAGGAUAAUAUUCCAAAAUACAUUAUAGACAGAAAAUAUCAAGCAAGCUACUAUAAAUUCCUUGCUAAAUUUUCAUGAAACCCAAGCAUUGCAAAACAACCGCAACAAUGAAUAACAUGUAUUGUUAUAAAAUGCAUUUAAUGGUUUUGUUUACUUUGGGUUACCAAAAAUCAUGUAAUGUGAUCAGUACGGUAAAAUGAUCAUGUGACUAAGCAUUCAGCUAGGAUGUGGCAGUGUUUUGUAACUUUGUGACCUAUUUCUUACAUCUGCUGGUGCUAUAUCAUGUUUCGAUAGUAAUUCCAAGGAUAUUGUUUCUGUUGCCACAUGUUCUAGCUGUGACAGUUUCUGUGUUGGCAAAACAACAAGGAAACGUUUCACAGUGUAUCGACAAAUAUAUUUAUGCAAUUUAUAGAAAGGUGAAUGAGAAUGACUUAUACUAACAUAUUCUUCUGUGAACUCCACCAACUUCAAAAAAUUGUUAUUCGUUUUGGAAGAUCAUGUCUAAUUUUACCUAAGAUGUGCUGACUUGGAUUCCAUGCUUGAAAAUGUGAAUUUGAGUGAUCCUGCAAGUCAAACUAAUCCUUGGGCAGUACAGUUGUCAAAUCUUAAACCAUAAGCAUGCAUCAUCCUGGACAGAUGAAUAGCUGAAUUCCAAAAAUACAUCUCACACCUGCAACUCUGCAUCAUAAUUGUGGAUAUGGAGAGCUAUGUCUCUUAAUGAGCUUUAGAAAUGCUUGCAGAAAUAAAACAAUUUUCAGCACUGAUACUUUCAGUACUUUGCACACCACCUGUGAUAAGUGAUAAAGAAGCAUAUGUGGUUUGCUGGAAAGAAAACAUACCUUUUAUGAUGAUGUUUGCAAAUUACAAACUACCAGGUCUUUGAACUUAAGAUCAACUUCCUGUAUUUGCACUGUGCAAGAUAAAAGAUCAUACAUGAAUGAUGAAAAAAGCAUAUGUAUAUAAACUGGAUAUGAAAUGCAAUUUUGAGCUUUUUGUAUUUAUAUAACUGUACAAGUGAAACACUCACAAUAUGGUGGUCCAAUGUUUAAGAUCUCUACUUCAUAGUUCUAGAGUCUGGGGCAGUCAUGACCUAUUUAUCCUUACCCUCAUGACCAAGAUCACAGCUGAAAAGGGUGGUUAUGUAUCAUUUUACUUACUCACUUAACAAAGACCUGGCUUAACUAGUAAAUGGUCAAAUAUGACUUGUGUUCUACCCCUAGUAAACAAAGUUAAAGAAAGAAAGAAACUGACAUUUUAUUUCAUUGCUUUGAAAUUGCCUUAAGUCUUUUGAUUUUUUGGUAGUUCUGUGAAUUUAUUUUAGCAAUUGAUGUACACAUACACAUACACACUUAAAAUAUAGCUCUUUGAUGCGGCUUACACAUACAGUAUGCCAUGCACACCCUCACACCCCCACACAUUUACACAAACAAAAUGUAGCACUUAAUGUGUGGAAAGAACAAUGUUUGUAGUUGUAAAGGGAUACAAGAACAGCAUUACUUGAAAUGUCAUUCAUUGAUUCCUGCCCCAGGUGAAAUCUCUGAUCUUGUUUUAAAAAGAUACAGAAUUACAGUCCUAUAAAACAAAUGAUGGCAUUCUGUUUUGCUUUGUUGCCUUUAAACAACAAAUAGUACAGUGGUCAUUUUGUUGUCUCAGAAAGGGCUAAGUGAAAAUAUCAUCCCUUUGAACUAGUCAGUGAAAGAAACAGAAUAUUUGUCAAACUAAAAAAGAAACAGUUCAUUGCCAGCAGCAAAAAAGGGUAACACCAGUAGUAUUGCGGAUUGAGGUUCUGUUACAAUUUAAAAAAAAAGUGUCAAAAUCUAAAGCAUUUGUCAGUCCAGAAUCUUUCUUUAUGCAGUUCAUGUGCAUAACAAAAUGUAUUAUUAGAAUGACAAAAAAUGCCAGUAAACUUCUGGAAAAAUAAA